rnacentral:tRNA from 4 species
UGGGGUGUAGCCAAGCGGUAAGGCAGCAGACUCUGAAUCUGCCAUUUCCCUGGUUCGAAUCCAGGUACCCCAGCCA